UACAGAGGGUGCGAGCGUUGUUCGGAAUUAUUGGGCGUAAAGGGCGCGUAGGCGGUGCGGUAAGUCACCUGUGAAAUCCCCGGGCUCAACCUGGGAAUGGCAUUUGGGACUGCAAGGCUGGAGUGCGGCAGAGGAGACUGGAAUUCCUGGUGUAGCAGUGAAAUGCGUAGAUAUCAGGAGGAAUACCGAUGGCGAAGGCAGGUCUCUGGGCUGACACUGACGCUCAUGCACGAAAGCGUGGGGAGCAAACAGG
rnacentral:rRNA from 1 species